rnacentral:rRNA from 1 species
CCCUUAGAUGUUCUGGGCUGCACGCGCGCUACACUGAUCCGGUCAACAAGUUUACAACCUUUUCCGAAAGGAAUGGGUAAUCUUUUGAAACCGGAUCGUGAUAGGGAUAGAUGAUUGCAAUUAUUUGUCUUGAACGAGGAAUGCCUAGUAGGGUCGGUUCAACAGAUCGACCCGAUUACGUCCCUGCCCUUUGUACACACCGCCCGUCGCUCCUACCGAUCGAAGAGUUAGGUGAAUUGUUUUGAUCGAUAAGAUUUGACUAUGGUCAACUCUCGUUGGGAAAUUCUGUGAAUCUGACUGUUUAGAGGAAGGAAAAGUCGUAACA